rnacentral:rRNA from 1 species
GAUGAACGUUGGCGGCGUGCCUAAUACAUGCAAGUCGAACGAAGACUGUAGUAAUACUGUCUUAGUGGCGAACGGGUGAGUAACGCGUGGGUGACCUGCCCCGAAGUGUGGGAUAACAGUCCGAAAGGAUUGCUAAUACUGCAUAAUAUCCAAGAGAUUAGAUGCUUUUGGAUUAAAGGAGUAAUUCGCUUCGGGAGGGGCCCGCGUCCCAUCAGCUAGUUGGUAAGGUAAUGGCUUACCAAGGCGAUGACGGGUAGGGGACCUGAGAGGGUGGCCCCCACAAUGGAACUGAAACACGGUCCAUACACCUACGGGUGGCAGCAGUAGGGAAUAUUAGAAAUGGACGAAAGUCUGAUCUAGCAACACCGCGUGUGCGAAGAAGGCCUUCGGGUCGUAAAGCACUUUUUGGAAGGAAUAGGAAGGAAUGUACUUCCAGAAUAAGUCUCGGCUAACUACGUG